AGCGAACGUUAGCGGCGGGCCUAACACAUGCAAGUCGAACGAGAAUGAGGGGGCAACUCCUCUAGUACAGUGGCGGACGGGUGCGUAACACGUGGGUAAUCUACCUUCCGGCGGGGGACAACAGUCCGAAAGGAUUGCUAAUACCGCAUACGUCGGCAGGGUCUACGGGCCUGUCGGGAAAGAUGGCCUCUCCUUGGAAGCUGUCACCGGAAGAUGAGCCCGCGGCCCAUCAGCUAGNGGUGAGGUAAUGGCUCACCAAGGCUUAGACGGGUAGCUGGUCUGAGAGGAUGAUCAGCCACACUGGGACUGCGACACGGCCCAGACUCCUACGGGAGGCAGCAGUGGGGAAUAUUGGGCAAUGGGCGAAAGCCUGACCCAGCGACGCCGCGUGGGGGAUGAAGGCC
rnacentral:rRNA from 1 species